rnacentral:rRNA from 1 species
AUUGAACGCUGGCGGCAUGCCUUACACAUGCAAGUCGAACGGUAACAGGGAGCUUGCUCCGCUGACGAGUGGCGAACGGGUGAGUAAUGUAUCGGAACGUACCAUUCAGUGGGGGAUAACGUAGCGAAAGUUACGCUAAUACCGCAUAUUCUGUGAGCAGGAAAGCAGGGGAUCGCAAGACCUCGCGCGGACGGAGCGGCCGAUGGCAGAUUAGGUAGUUGGUGGGAUAAAAGCUUACCAAGCCGACGAUCUGUAGCUGGUCUGAGAGGACGACCAGCCACACUGGGACUGAGACACGGCCCAGACUCCUACGGGAGGCAGCAGUGAGGAAUCUUGCGCAAUGGGGGAAACCCUGACGCAGCAACGCCGCGUGAGUGAGGAAGGCCUUCGGGUCGUAAAGCUCUGUCAGAUGGGAAGAAAUGGUGGGGGCUAAUAUCGCCCAUCCUUGACGGUACCAUACAGGAGGACCGGCAACGACGUA